rnacentral:rRNA from 1 species
ACUGGAAACGGUGGCUAAUACCGCAUAACGUCGCAAGACCAAAGAGGGGGACCUUCGGGCCUCUUGCCAUCAGAUGUGCCCAGAUGGGAUUAGCUUGUUGGUGAGGUAACGGCUCACCAAGGCGACGAUCCCUAGCUGGUCUGAGAGGAUGACCAGCCACACUGGAACUGAGACACGGUCCAGACUCCUACGGGAGGCAGCAGUGGGGAAUAUUGCACAAUGGGCGCAAGCCUGAUGCAGCCAUGCCGCGUGUAUGAAGAAGGCCUUCGGGUUGUAAAGUACUUUCAGCGGGGAGG